rnacentral:pre_miRNA from 1 species
UAUAUACUCCCUCCGUCCCAAAAUUCUUGUCUUAGAUUUAUCUAGAUACGGAUGUACCUAAUACUAAAACAUGACUUGAUACAUCCGUAUUUAGACAAAUCUAAGACAAGAAUUUUGAGACGGAGGGAGUACUAU